rnacentral:rRNA from 1 species
AGGAUUAACGCUGGCGGCGUGCCUAACACAUGCAAGUCGAACGAGGUAGCAAUACCUAGUGGCAGACGGGUGAGUAACGCGUGGUCAACCUACCGUUGAGUGGGGGAUAACUAGCCGAAAGGUUAGCUAAUACCGCAUACGAGUCUCGGGGGCAUCCCUGGGCCUUAAAAGGAGCAAUCCGCUCGAUGACGGGACCGCGUCCCAUUAGCUAGAUGGUGGGAUAACGGCCUACCAUGGCACCGAUGGGUAGCUGGUUUGAGAGAGCGACCAGCCACACUGGGACUGAGAAACGGCCCAGACUCCUACGGGAGGCAGCAGUGAGGAAUUUUCCGCAAUGGGCGAAAGCCUGACGGAGCGACGCCGCGUGUGGGAAGAAGGCCUUCGGGUCGUAAACCACUGUCGAAGGGGACGAUAAUGACGGUACCCUUGGAGGAAGCCCCGGCUAACUACGUGCCAGCAGCCGC